UCUGAGGUAGCUUAAUUCAAAGCAUUGAUUUUGUAAUUCAAAGUUGAGAAAUUUAUGUUCUCCCCCGGAA
rnacentral:tRNA from 1 species